rnacentral:lncRNA from 1 species
GCAAGGAGGAUUGCCUCCAGAGCAAUGGGUCACCCUCUGGUUGCAUUUAUACGUGCCAAGUGGAAACGCAGGAGCUUGUUAAAUAUUUUUUUUCAGUGGGCAUUGCACAAGUAGAUCAGUUUUCUGGUCUCUCUCCCUCCCUUCACUGCAGAAUUGCAUAGCCCAGGCCUGACCGUCCAUCCUAACUUGGAGCAAACCACAACCCCCCAUACAGGGAUGGUGCAAAGCUCCGGUCCAAACACCUCUUUGGUGAUGCUCAAGUCAAGCUCUGGUCCAGCCUGACCCUAAAAACACAGACAUUGGUUGAGUCUGGUAGAGGAGCAAAGGAGCCCGUGCAACAGGGUGGGAUUCAAACCCCUCUGUGAGCCAACAGAGAUUUGUCUGGCGUCAUGGAGCCGGAUGGUGGCAGACUUCUGCCCAUUCUUGGUGCUCGUUGGAAUGACUUAAUUAUUUGUUGUUGUUUGUUUGAAGGGAGAGCCCGGUCCACCAGGAAAAGGAGUGGAAAUGAAGGAUCUGGAGAGACUUUUUGAAGAAAAUGGUAUUAAGCUGGCACUGCUGAAGGAUCUCUCCAACGCGCUGCUGCGGGAUGGGCUGGAUGGGCUGGUGCAGCAGCUGGGCAGCUCCAGGAAAAGCAAGAGCUCCAGGAGAAAGCAGACACUUCCACAGACUGCUAAACAUGGCGUGAGUAUCCAUCAUCUUCAGGGGGCCCUAGAAGGAAAUGAAUCAGUGAAGGCUUCAGGGUCACCUCUGUCAUCAAGCAGGUUAUGGUGACUUGCAGCCAUCUUAAUCUGGAAGAGGCUGGGGGCUCUCGCCAGGAUUUUGGAUCUACUGGUAAAGC